GCUGGGCGCGAUGGCUUAUGCCUGUAAUCCCAGCACUUUGGGAGGCUGAGGCAGGUGGAUUGCUUGAGGUCAGGAGUUCUAGACUAGCCUGACCAAUAUGGUGAAACCCUGUCUCUA
ensembl:misc_RNA Metazoa_SRP Metazoan signal recognition particle RNA